rfam:Myotis brandtii contig242961, whole genome shotgun sequence.
GGCAAUUUUUGGGUGACACACCCCAGAAUCAGGCUCCCUCCUCUCUAAUUCCAGGCGUGUCACCCAAGAACUGUA